UUCACGGCAGAGAACCUCACUCAGCCUUGAAAAGGAGGCACAUUCCGAUACCUGUGAUGGCAUGGAUGGACCUGGAGCACAUCGUGCCAAGAGAGAAGCUGGUCACAAGGGGACAGAUACUGCCCAGGCCCACUUCUAGGAGGCCCGAGCUGGGUGACGUGACAGCUACACAGCAGUGUGCACAGCGCCGCUGAACUCCCCUAGGAAUGGUCACGUGAUGAACCUAUGUGUACUUGACCACAGUUUUUGAAAGUAAUACGUAUGGUGGGUGUGCCUGCCCAGACCCAGGGAAAACACUCCAGGCUCGUUCUGGUUGCUGUCACUGAAGAAAACCGUGCCUCACAAGGACAGGAAUCAGACAUGGAAGCAGGCUUGUCAGUGCUUCUGUGACACUCAGGAUGCGCUAGCUUGACUUGGCGCAGAACAUACGGAAAUCUGAAGUUGUCACCUUUUACAGUCUCACACAGUGGGUUCUCCUCUAGCACGGACAAAAUCAGCUCACGUAGCUUGUUCGUAAGUGGGCCACGGACCCUUCCUUCCGGUCGGUGUCUUUUGAAAGCUGUUAGCCCAUGGUCUCCGAGCUGGGAGAAAGAAUGCCUAGGUCCUGUUAAAGUCCCUGCUGAUGUCUGGCACACAUCAGUGACCCAGUGUCACUCAUCGCUCAUAAUCCCAGCUUGGCUUCGCCGCAGCCACUGUCUGCCGACUGGGCACAGCAGUUGUUCCCCCUGAAGUGAGAGGUUGAGUUCACUGAGCAGGCUGAAUAUGUCACACAGGUAAGCAAGAUUUGUGACCCAUUCUGCAUCACCGAAAUGUGCUGCCGGUGGUGACUCUUUCUAAAAGUCGUCUCUGGAGGGCCGAGGAUUUAGCUCAGCGGUUCCGGCGCCUGCCUCGCAAGCACAAGGUCCCGAGUUCAAUCCCCGGUACCAAAAAAAAAGUCAUCUCUGGAGCAGCUCUCAGAUCCGCAGCCCUCUCACCACUGUGUGUAAGAGAACACGUAUGUGCUCUGUGUCCAUCUUCUCUCACGGCUGUGUGAAUGACCCGAGCUAAGGGCAUGCACUGGACUGUGCUUGAUAGUCACAUCCUGCAGAACACUGUUAAGUUCAGGUGACAUUUUUCAGCUAGCCAGCACUUCUCCAUGGAUGACAUUCAGAAGCAGCCUUUGACCCGAGUAGUCAAACCAGAAAUCGUCCACUCUUUGCUCGGUCUGUGCACCUGACCAAGUCAGUGUUUGUGAAGUGCAGUUCGGGUGGUCUUAGUUGGUAACAAAGGUCCACAUAGCAUAUCCUCAUGCACAUCCUCCUGAAAAAUAAAUCAUACAGAGCAAGCGUUGAUGCCUUGUUGCCAGCUUCCGUAGACGCAUCCUUCUGUCUGUGUACCUUGGUGCACCAUCUAGUCAUGGUGCUAGCCGACAGAGGAGCACGGGCCGCUGGUUGUACCGCACCUGCCCUACAAGUUCAUGACAAGGUCCUCAGCAGCAACUGGGGCACCUUCACCUGUGGAAGGGCUCCUCAGCUUUGGCGGUGCUGUGAGCCACUGAGAGGGAGGCCCACACACCAGCUGAAGCAAUGGCCUGCAGUCACUGGUUCUGUCCUUCGUGG
rnacentral:lncRNA from 1 species